rnacentral:rRNA from 1 species
UAGCGUAUAUUAAAGUUGUUGCGGUUAAAAAGCUCGUAGUUGGAUUUCUGUUGAGGGCAGCCGGUCCGCAUUUCGUGCGUGUAUCUGGUUUGACCUCGGCAUCUUCUCAAAAAACGUUUCUGCGCUUGAUUGCGUGGAGCGGAGUUUGAGACUUUUACUUUGAGGAAAUUAGAGUGUUCACGGCAGGCGUUCGCCUUGAAUAUAUUAGCAUGGAAUAAUAAUAUAGGAUCUUGGUUCUAUUUUGUUGGUUUCUAGGGCUAGGAUAAUGAUUAAUAGGGACAAUUGGGGGCAUUCGUAUUAACGCGUC